CCGCGCCCUCACCCCGGCCCUGCCCCCUCCCGGCCCGCCCCCCGGAGCCGGUCAGCCGAGAGGACCCCGGGGCGGAGGGCGGGGACCCGCGGGCGGGGGCCGGCUCCUGUUGCUUCCGCUCCCCGCAGCGGGGGCCUGGGUGGUGGGGACUGUGCGCCCGGAGCUGGGUCUGGCCGGAAGAGUCAAUCUCCCCCCAAGGCCGGAGGGCGGGUGUGAGAUCGGGGCAGUAGAGGAAGGGGCUUGGGGCGGGAAUGAGGGGUCGGGUCGGGCAGAAGACUAGCUAAACCGGGCCUUUGUCUCCGGGGUGCUCGCUGUUCCCCUGCGUGGCCCCUCCUGCCUGGCAGGUGAGGCGGGGCCAGCCCGUGGGGCUCCCCAGACUGUCGCAGCUCCUCAGCGUUGGAGCGAAGGCGGCUGAUAGAAUGCCAAGUCUAAACCUAUGAAACAGACCAGUUAAGACUACACUAAAGUAACAGGUGAGUAGAGAGCUGAGAGCAAGUCGGCCUCUCUCUCUGUAUUGGUGGUCAGCCUGAGCUUGCGUGCAGCUGGAUCCCAAGACGGUCAGGAUCCCUGGCCCCUGAAAGUCUGGGCUUGGAAAUCCUGGACCAUCGCCUCUGCCUUGUUCUAUCCGGAGAAGUUAAGUCCAAGGCCAGCCUGGAUUCAAGGGGAGUGGGCAGAGCCUUGCACAUAAAAAAUGAGAACUUGUGAGGGUCAUCUUUGGAAACAGCCUACCUUAGACAUCAAACGUUGACGGAGUAUGUUGCCAGUACCACGUGGGAGGUCGCAGCGAAAAGGCUGCUGGAAACUCAAGGACCUGCGCAGCUCUCCCU
ensembl:lncRNA